GUAUAUUACAAAUAAUUAUAAUAUAUAUAAUUAUAAAUAUAAUUAUAUAUAAUUUCUUAUUAGUAUGAUUUUUGUCUUUAUUUUUUUUUAAUCUUUCUUAUAAUUUAUUUUUAUAUUUUUAUUACAGCAAUAGUUGUUUAUUUUUUAGUUAUUUUUUUAUAUAAUUUUUUGACUCUUUUUUUUUACUAUUAUUUAUUUUAUUUAUAUAUUUAUUUCUACGGAAUCAUUCCGCCGCAACGCACGGGUCCUUCACUAGUAGAUCAAUAUAAGAUGAUUGGGUUUGGAUUUUGUUUUGACCAAAGACCUUGGCUUGUAAACAUAGUUAGUUAAUUCGGAUUCGGCAAAAAUUCGGUACGUAUAUAAUACAUAUAAAAUUCGUUGUCUAAUUUUUAAAUUCGUUGAAAAAUUCAGCUUAAAAAAUGGAUUCGGUAUAAAAUAUAAAAUAUAAAAUAAUUUAUAUUUAAAAAUAAAAUUAUAAGUUUUUUUUAUAUUUUCAAUAAUUCGGCAAUAAUUUGCGAAUAGUUCGGCUGGCCCAAAAAUUCGCGAAUAAUUCUCUUUCUUCUGGAAAAAUUCGUAAACGGACUGUUUAAUUUGGAUUUUCAAUAAUUCGCGAAUUUACUAACUAGGCUUGUAAAAUGGUACAUUGGUAUGAGCCUAAGCCUGGUCCAAAAAUUAUCUGAGAUUUUGGG
rnacentral:lncRNA from 1 species